UACGGAGGGUGCAAGCGUUACUCGGAAUCACUGGGCGUAAAGGACGCGUAGGCUGUUUAGCAAGUCAGAUGUGAAAUCCAAUGGCUCAACCAUUGAACUGCAUUUGAAACUGCUAGACUAGAGUAUGGGAGGGGGAGAUGGAAUUAGUGGUGUAGGGGUAAAAUCCGUAGAUAUCACUAGGAAUACCUAAAGCGAAGGCGAUCUCCUGGAACAUUACUGACGCUAAGGCGUGAAAGCGUGGGGAGCAAACAGGAUUAGAUACCCUGGUAGUCCACGCCCUAAACGAUGAACACUAGUCGUCGCGAUGCUUGUCAUUGCGGUGAUGCACUUAACAGAUUAAGUGUUCCGCCUGGGGAGUACGGUCGCAAGAUUAAAACUCAAAGGAAUAGACGGGGACCCGCACAAGUGGUGGAGCAUGUGGUUUAAUUCGAAGAUACGCGAAAAACCUUACCUGGCCUUGACAUUGAUAGAAUCCUGUAGAGAUACGGGAGUGCCCUUCGGGGAGCUUGAAAACAGGUGCUGCACGGCUGUCGUCAGCUCGUGUCGUGAGAUGUUGGGAUAAGUCCCGCAACGAGCGCAACCCUCGUCCUUAGUUGCCAGCAGUUCGGCUGGGCACUCUAAGGAGACUGCCUUCGCAAGGAGGAGGAAGGUGAGGACGACGUCAAGUCAUCAUGGCCCUUACGGCCAGGGCUACACACGUGCUACAAUGGGGCGUACAGAGUGUUGCAAUACCGCGAGGUGGAGCCAAUCACUUAAAGCGUCUCUCAGUUCGGAUUGUUCUCUGCAACUCGAGAGCAUGAAGCUGGAAUCACUAGUAAUCGUAGAUCAGCAUUGCUACGGUGAAUACGUUCCCGGGUCU
rnacentral:rRNA from 1 species